ACGGAAGGCAGCAGUGGGGAAUAUUGCACAAUGGGCGAAAGCCUGAUGCAGCGACGCCGCGUGAGUGAAGAAGUAUCUCGGUAUGUAAAGCUCUAUCAGCAGGGAAGAAAAUGACGGUACCUGACUAAGAAGCCCCGGCUAACUACGUGCCAGCAGCCGCGGUAAUACGUAGGGGGCAAGCGUUAUCCGGAUUUACUGGGUGUAAAGGGAGCAUAGACGGUUUGGCAAGUCUGAAGUGAAAUGCGGGGGCUCAACUCCUGAACUGCUUUGGAAACUGUCGAACUAGAGUGCAGGAGAGGUAAGUGGAAUUCCUAGUGUAGCGGUGAAAUGCGUAGAUAUUAGGAGGAACACCAGUGGCGAAGGCGGCUUACUGGACUGUAACUGACGUUGAGGCUCGAAAGCGUGGGGAGCAAACAGGAUUAGAUACCCUGGUA
rnacentral:rRNA from 1 species